CCCCUCUCAGUAUGGCACCUGGAGAGUUUCUAGUACUCUACCAGACUCGGCUAUGGGAGGGAGAGUCAAGCAGAGGCAUAUCCUUUCCAUUCCUAGCUUGGCCAGUGGCUAGCAAAUAGAAGAUAAUCUGCUACAAGU